rnacentral:rRNA from 1 species
UACGUAGACCUCAAGCGUUAUCCGGAUUUAUUGGGCGUAAAGCGCGUGUAGGAGGUUCGGUGCGUCUCUUGUUAAAGCCCACUGCCUAACGGUGGAAGUGCAAGGGAUACGACCGAGCUAGAGGAGGUUAGAGGUACCUGGAACUCACGGUGUAGGGGUGACAUCCGUUGAUAUCGUGGGGAACACCAAAGGCGAAGGCAGGGUACUGGGACCUUCCUGACUCUGAGACGCGAAAGCGUGGGGAG